GGCAGGGUUACCUGGGAGGCAGGGUUUACACUGAUGGGCCAUUAAGUAUAAUCUAAGCUUACAGGCAACAUUCCUUUAGUGAUUAACUUGUAGUAGAAUACAAAGGUUCUUCCCUAUUAUACAAGUUUGCUGCUAACUAGUUAUUUAACUUUGGAUAGUUACUUGAUUCAUUGACUCCUGACUUUCUCAGUCAUGCAUUGUUUUCAUUCAAUACAGAUUUCUUAAAUUAUGUGCAAAUAUUUAGAGCCAAAGGAUCUCAUAAAUAAAGUGGUUCAAAGGUUCACACUUUCAGCUUGAAAAGACACAGAGGAUCUCAUGCACUUGAGGUCAAUGAGGAGACUGCACCCUUGGCCUGCCUUGUGCCUGGUGAAAGUGAAACUGUUAGUCGUUCAGUCAUGUCUGACUCUGCAACUCCAUGGACUGUAGCCCACCAGGCUCCUCUGUCCAUGGAAUUCUCCAGGUCUGACAGCGUCCAGGAGUUACGUGCACGUCUGUCAUACUUCAUAGUUCAAGAAAGGACUGGUCCCCAGUAUACAAGUCACAGGAUCCUCCCCUGCAGAAGGAGGGGUGAGCUUCACGAUGUUGGGCCCCAUGUCCUGCUUCCACACAAGGUCUGACAGAAAGGUCCUGGAUCUGAGAGAUGGGACACCUGGCCAUGCAUAGCACAUAGUAGGCAUGCACAACAAAAUGAAUUCACUGAAUGGAGCCUGCAUUCUUGUCUUGAAUUUGUAACUAACUAGAUCAAGUGGUGGGAGUAAGGAUCUAAACCUAAGUUUUCCCAUAUGUGAAAUAGAGGAGUUAGACAAGGUCACCAUGACUAUACCUUUUGGUUCUCAGAUUCUAUCAUUUUAUUAUUUUAUAUCCUAUCUACCCAGAGCUUGAUCUUCCUGUAUGAGGCCUGAUUGUUAGUAAACUGAUCCAUGAAAGGGUGCUGGGGAACCUCUUUGAGUAUCAUUGCUGUUAUCUACAAAGGCAGACAAUAAUCCUAGGGCUGUUUUGUGAUUCGAAUGAAAGAAAGGAAUGAAGUUCCUAGAAAUAUUAAUGACACAUGCCCCAAAAACGAUAGUUGUUGCUAUUUUCAUCAUUAAAUAACAACUUUUCCUCUUUUAGUUAAUAGAGCUUUGCUAAAUUGUGUGUGUGUGUGUGUGCGUGUGUGUAUGUGUUCAGUCAUUCAAGUCAUGUCCAGAUCUUUUCGACCCUGUGGCUCCUCUGUCUGUGGGAUUCUCCAGGCAAGAAUACUGGAGUGGGUUGCCAUGCCCUCCUCCGGGGGAUCUUCCCAACCCAGGGAUCAAACCCCAUGUUUCUUAUGUCUCCUGCAUUGCCAGGUGGAUUCUUUACCACUAGAAUCACUUGGGAAGCCCUUGCUAAAUUAACUGGCCUUAAAUUAAC
ensembl:lncRNA